CGUGGCCCAUGUCCACCAGGGCCAGCUGGCUUCCCCUCCCAGCGCGAGCGGCAGCACCAGCGCGCCGAAGCC
rnacentral:tRNA from 1 species